GCGAAAUAAUUCAAAGGCAAUGGACCAGGGACAUGGUUACAAAUCUCUGCCACUGGCACUGUGACUUAUGCAGGCAGUUUGUCACACAUGAGCCAGGUGACCUCUGUGACAUAACAGAGAAAAAUAUCGCCCGAGAUCAAAAGAUGAGAUUCAGAGCACUCUAACUAACUCUGGUGUACACAGCCACACUAUAAGGUGGCCAAGGGUUUCCUCUCCUUCGAAUGCUGCUCACUCCGCUCGCUGGCGGGCGGGACACACUCCUGCUAAUUUCAGUAAUCUCUUUUUCUCUCAUCUCUUUGGAAAUCUUUCCUGCAACCUGAACAUCAAAAUUUGCCUCUUCUGAAGCCUCUCUUUUUCAAAAAAGGAAAGCCUGCUAGAGAUACAACAGUCAGCGGCUGCAUCUACAGACAAUUUUUGUUGGGAAAAGUGCCAUAUAGUAUCGACAGUGACAACAAAUUGUAUUGUCCGGUGAACAUCUGUUUCCGACUCCCACACUGAUACUGCAGGUUGGAUACUUCUGAUUUAGUCUUCACAGGCUGCCCGACCACAGAGGAACUGGAAAUUACUGAGAAAGAGGGAGAAUGAGAAACACCACUGAAACUCCUGUUAACACUAAUUAGAGUUGUCAGCAUGCAGCGGAAUCAAAGGCAAAACAUGUGGAGCUCCCACUGAAGUCAAGAGGAGAAGGGUAUUACUUAAAGGAGAGGCAUGCAAAUUAAAAAUAAAUGCUGUUCAAUGUUACCAAAUGAGCUAGUCACGUAAACACUCGUUUUGAGGUCUAAACCUUCCUACUGGGAACUCUCUUUCUGAAAGUUCAUUCCUAGUCAGGAGACAGCAUUGUCCUUGACCACACUUGCUGAAC